rnacentral:rRNA from 1 species
AACGCGAAGAACCUUACCCGGGUUUGACAUAUACGGGACCGCCGUAGAGAUACGGUUUCCCUUGUGGUCGGUAUACAGGUGGUGCAUGGCUGUCGUCAGCUCGUGUCGUGAGAUGUUGGGUUAAGUCCCGCAACCAGCGCAACCCUUGUCCUGUGUUGCCAGCACGUAAUGGUGGGGACUCGCAGGAGACUGCCGGGGUCAACUCGGAGGAAGGUGGGGACGACAUCAAGUCAUCAUGCCCCUUAUGUCCAGGGCUUCACACAUGCUACAAUGGCCGGUACAGAGGGCUGCGAUACCGUGAGGUGGAGCGAAUCCCUUAAAGCCGGUCUCAGUUCGGAUCGGGGUCUGCAACUCGACCCCGUGAAGUCGGAGUCGCUAGUAAUCGCAGAUCAACAACGCUGCGGUGAAUACGUUCCCGGGUCUUGUACACACCG